rnacentral:rRNA from 1 species
GACGAACGCUGGCGGCGUGCCUAACACAUGCAAGUCGAACGAAGCAUUUAAGUGAAUCCCUUCGGGGUGAAGCUUUUAUGACUUAGUGGCGGACGGGUGAGUAACGCGUGAGUAACCUGCCUUUCAGAGGGGGAUAACAGUUGGAAACGACUGCUAAUACCGCAUAAUGUGACGAGAUCGCAUGGUCUUGUCACCAAAGCUGAGGCGCUGAAAGAUGGACUCGCGUCUGAUUAGAUAGUUGGUGAGGUAACGGCUCACCAAGUCGACGAUCAGUAGCCGGACUGAGAGGUUGAACGGCCACAUUGGGACUGAGACACGGCCCAGACUCCUACGGGAGGCAGCAGUGGGGAAUAUUGCACAAUGGGCGAAAGCCUGAUGCAGCAACGCCGCGUGAGGGAAGACGGUUUUCGGAUUGUAAACCUAAGUUGUCAGGGACGAAACACGACGGUACCUGAAGAGAAAGCUCCGGCUAACUACGUGCCAGCAGCCG